GAGGGUAGAGCUUAGUGGUAGAGCGUGUGCUUCGCAUGCACAAGGUCCUGAGUUCAAUCCCCAGGACGUCCA
rnacentral:tRNA from 1 species